ACUUUAUUUCAAUGGCGAGCCUUAGCCAGAAUCGAUUUGCUUGAAUAUCGAACGUUUUUGAAUUAUUUCUCCUAUCGCUUGUCGAGAGGGAAAACAAGCAUUGAUCAUGCAGACAAGCUUCAAGGAGAAAUAAAAACGAAAGAACUUUCAGCAUCAUCGAAUGGAUCUGGAAACAUAGAAUUAUUUGGUGAAGAAGUUUACACACGUAAGAAAAUCCUGUUUCUUGAUGACGUAAUUUCCCGUAAAGAGAGGGAAAGCGCGAAAGAAGUCGUCCUAAAUUGGAUCUGACUUAUGAGUCACCAAAAGAAGAGAAAUGUCAUAUUUCUAAGAUCUUCCAGAUGCAAACAAGCCCUUUGAAACUUAAGAAAAUAGUUCUGGGAGAAGAUGACAUAUGAGAUUCAUUUGUCAUAAUUAUUGUUGUCUUUUUAUGUUCAAUAAAGUUUUUCAACUUUACAGUACAGGAGUACAAGAGGAAGAAAAAGAAAGAAGAAUCAAUACCUCUAAUGAGAGGGAAAUUUCUAAAAACAAUUGACUUUUUAUUUUUGACGACUGAUGAUAUAAUUUUAUCCAUCAGAUAUAUUGUAGUUUUUAUAUAUGAACUUUUUAUGUGACGAGAUAUGUUUUUCAUAUCAAGAAGAGAUAUUUUU